UACGGAGGGGGCUAGUGUUGUUCGGAAUUACUGGGCGUAAAGGGCGCGCAGGCGGCUUGGCAAGUCGAGUGUGAAAUCCCUUGGCUUAACUAAGGAAUGGCGCUCGAAACUACCUCGCUAGAGGACGGGAGAGGGAUGUGGAAUUCCAGGUGUAGCGGUGAAAUGCGUAGAUAUCUGGAGGAACAUCGGUGGCGAAGGCGGCAUCCUGGACCGGUAUUGACGCUGAGGCGCGAAAGCCAGGGGAGCAAACGGG
rnacentral:rRNA from 1 species